CAAAGUGUGUUGUUCAUGGACAUACAGCAAAAGUUUGGAUUUUGAGAUAUUGCACAAUUUCAUGUAACUUUGUGUGCCAGAAAAGCACACAAUUAAACUCAGAGCUAAAAUACUACAUGGGUCAAGGUUCAUUGACGUGGGAGGAGGCACAGACGGCUUGCCGAGCCAAUGGAGAUGACUUAGCGAGCAUCCUCACCCAAGAGGAUUACACAGCAUUCCAAAGCAUAACAGAGACACAGCAGUUUGAAAUGUGGAUUGGACUCUACUGGAAGACUUCUACCAGAAUGUGGGAGUGGUCCAAUGGGGACCCCUUUCCAUACUGUGUGUCUGAGCCUCAACUGGGUGCUAGUAACUGCUGCUCCCUGACCCAUAAGGGCCAUUGGCAGACUGAAAACGUCACCCUGGAGAAGAUAGACUGCUCUCUGAAGAGACCGUUCCUUUGCACUGGAAGUAAGACUGACAUCUUUAUUGAACAGAUAGAGAGAGGACAAUAUAGACAGAGGUUGUGUCAAAGGUCACUAGGCUGGAUUCAAACCUAUUCUGACACCAUAGACAUGUGUGCCAGAGACUGUGGCAUUUCCACUAGACCAGCCAGGCCACAAGACUGCCAUCUUAUUGGGGUUACUGGGGAUGAUAAGACAGGGACAGGGAUGGCAUUUUAGCCCCAAUAGGGUCCCACUGCAGCAAACACUGUCACAUGUCAGACACAGAGAUGCUACAUGUAGCCUACUCCAGCCACCUCUCUCUCCCCACCUUUCAGAUAUAUAUAUGUGAUCAUGUGGUUUCUAUUAUGAGAUAAUAUUUCCAUACUGGUAAACAUAGAACACAGAGGGUUGCUACUACACAGUUCCAAAGUCAUUUACAGCCUUUAAAGGACAUUGCAAGAAAAGCUACUUAUUUAUUGUAAAUAAGGUGAACCUCAUUUGAGUGAAUGUUACCAUUCCUAUGUCAAUCUAGAAAGGAGAAUGAAGCAGACCAUUGUAAGGAUGUCUCUGAAAUCUAACACAGGAGCUGACCUCAAUGACCCAGUGGUAAAGGAACAGAUGUAGGAGCAGACCAGAAAGGAGAUUGCUAAGAACGGGAACUUCAUCCAAGACUUGCGAUGGAGAGAACUGCCUAACGGAGAUGUUUUUCGCAAAAUAGUUGAACUUGGAAGCCCUGAAGAAGGUCACUGUUCUGGAUGAAGAGGACCAGCCAUGAUGAUGCAACAGGAGA